UAUAUUUUUACAUUUUAAACACUUUUUGGGUAGUUUCAGUUUUCUAGGUGUUGGGUUAAAACUGCUGGGUUAUUAUGUUGGGUUGUUUGAAGAGGCUCACGUGCUUCGCGCCCUUGAUGUUUGAAUGUGCUCAGCAAUGGUCGUCGUGAAAGGACAGAGUCACUGAAGCAGUUGUUUCAAGAGUGUGCAGAGUUUUAACGUCCAUCCAUUGAUGAGGCUAGCAAGACCUUCAUACAACUUCAGCCAAUUGCAACAAAUGUGGUGGAAUUUCGUCUCUGGACAGAAUCCUCGAAACCCUUUCCUUUCGUCCUGGCCAUGGGAAACAUGCAGCAGAUCUCUCAAUCUUUUUUCUCAAUCAGUCUCUCUGAAUACGGAAGUGACUUAAACUGCAAUUCGGCCAAGAUGGCGACGGCACGCACCGCCUACUUUAAGCUUCAAAAAUGCUCUUCACAAACCAAUGGGUGACGUCACAGACACUACUUGCAUAUUUUUUACAGUCUCUGGUUUAAAGGCAUUUUAAGUGCUUAAAAAAAUAAAUACCCCAGGCAAUGUGCUUCUAUGGGAAUUCCUGUAGUCUGUCAUUUUUCAAAUGGAUGAAUCCCCUGCUGUUCGAUUCCUUUGUACAUCUUUGUUCGCGACGAAUAAAUGAAGUAUUUUUAGUCAAAUACAUUCCAUUCUGUGAAACUUAAAACAUUUGUUCUUUAAAAAAACUUUACACAUCUAUGAAUGAUUUUACUUUUAAUUUAACAAUUACAUUGUUUCUUUUUUACACUGCUGUAGUUUUGUUUAUGUACAUUUCAGUAUUUCAUAUAUAUACUGUAAAAUUACAAAUUCUGUCUUAAAUUCAAACGAAUUGAUUCAACCUGUUACAUUGUUACUUCAAUGUGCAUAAUUUAUGAUAUUUUAUAAAUAUAUUUAUACUUGGGUCAGUAAGCAGUCCUUUAAAUGAUUUUGCAACUUACAACUGUAAAAAUGUAAGAGUUUGUAGUUAUUUUGCAAUCAAAUAAACAUUUAUUUG